rnacentral:rRNA from 2 species
UACAGAGGGGGCAAGCGUUGUUCGGAAUUACUGGGCGUAAAGGGCGCGUAGGCGGCCUUCUAAGUCGAACGUGAAAUCCCCGGGCUCAACCCGGGAACUGCGUCCGAUACUGGAAGGCUUGAAUCCGGGAGAGGGAUGUGGAAUUCCAGGUGUAGCGGUGAAAUGCGUAGAUAUCAGGAGGAACACCGGUGGCGAAGGCGGCUCUCUGGACCACAACUGACGCUGAGGCGCGAAAGCUAGGGGAGCAAACAGG